AUGUGGUCUUACGGUGAUAAUAGUCGUGGUGGAGGCGUGCCGACGAUCUCGACUGAAGCGUGGGCUAGUGCUGUUGGAGCUUGUCAGAUCUGGUGCGAAGACACGACUGAGCUUCGAAGCUUUCCGGCGGUAUUGAUGGAGUCCGCAGUCAUGGUGCGUGAGGAUGGUUCGUCGGGAACGUUCCAGUUACCGAUCAAAGUCCCUCUGUCGCUUCUUUUCCUUCUGUUUGGUUUUGACUUGGUUAUGUUGUUGAGUUGA